AUCCAGCGAACUUUCCAGAGAUGGAUUGGUGCCUUCGGGAACGCUGAGACAGUGCUGCAUGGCUGUCGUCAGCUCGUGUUGUGAAAUGUUGGGUUAAGUCCCGCAACGAGCGCAACCCUUAUCCUUUGUUGCCAGCGAUUCGGUCGGGAACUCAAAGGAGACUGCCGGUGAUAAACCGGAGGAAGGUGGGGAUGACGUCAAGUCAUCAUGGCCCUUACGAGUAGGGCUACACACGUGCUACAAUGGCGCAUACAAAGAGAAGCGACCUCGCGAGAGCAAGCGGACCUCAUAAAGUGCGUCGUAGUCCGGAUCGGAGUCUGCAACUCGACUCCGUGAAGUCGGAAUCGCUAGUAAUCGUGGAUCAGAAUGCCACGGUGAAUACGUUCCCGGGCCUUGUACACACCGCCCGUCACACCAUGGGAGUGGGUUGCAAAAGAAGUAGGUAGCUUAACCUUCGGGAGGGCGCUUACCACUUUGUGAUUCAUGACUGGGGUGAAGUCGUAACAAGGUAAGCGUAGCGAG
rnacentral:rRNA from 1 species